UACGUAGGGUGCAAGCGUUAAUCGGAAUUACUGGGCGUAAAGCGUGCGCAGGCGGUGAUGUAAGACAGAUGUGAAAUCCCCGGCUCAACCUGGGAACUGCAUUGUGACUGCAUCGCUGGAGUGCGGAGAGGGGAUAGAAGUUCCGCGUGUAGCAGUGAAUGCGUAGAGAUGUGGAGGAACACCGAUGGCGAAGGCAGCCC
rnacentral:rRNA from 1 species